rfam:Cucumis sativus cultivar 9930 chromosome 6, whole genome shotgun sequence.
UUCCUAUGAUGAAACACUCCCACAAUUGAUAGGAAGUGCCGUAUGACACUCCAAAAAGCGGCGAGAAG